rnacentral:tRNA from 1 species
UCCCCGGUGGUCCAGUGGUUAGGACUCCAUGCUCUCACUGCCGUGGCCCAGGUUCAAUCCCUGGUCAGGGAA